rnacentral:rRNA from 1 species
AUGAACGCUGGCGGCGUGCUUAACACAUGCAAGUCGAACGAAGCACUUUAUUUGAUUUCCUUCGGGACUGAUUAUUUUGUGACUUAGUGGCGGACGGGUGAGUAACGCGUGGGUAACCUGCCUUGUACAGGGGGAUAACAGUUGGAAACGGCUGCUAAUACCGCAUAAGCGCACAGCAUCGCAUGAUGCAGUGUGAAAAACUCCGGUGGUAUAAGAUGGACCCGCGUUGGAUUAGCUAGUUGGUGAGGUAACGGCCCACCAAGGCGACGAUCCAUAGCCGAACUGAGAGGGUGACCGGCCACAUUGGGACUGAGACACGGCCCAAACUCCUACGGGAGGCAGCAGUGGGGAAUAUUGCACAAUGGGCGAAAGCCUGAUGCAGCGACGCCGCGUGAGCGAAGAAGUAUUUCGGUAUGUAAAGCUCUAUCAGCAGGGAAGAUAAUGACGGUACCUGACUAAGAAGCACCGGCUAAAUACGUG